rnacentral:rRNA from 1 species
UACGGAGGGUGCGAGCGUUAUCCGAAAUUACUGGGUUUAAAGGGCGCGUAGGCGGCGUGUUAAGUCAGCUGUGAAAUCUCCAAGCUUAACUUGGAACGGUCAGCUGAUACUGAUGUGCUAGAGUGCAGAAGGGGCAAUCGGAAUUCUUGGUGUAGCGGUGAAAUGCGUAGAUAUCAAGAGGAACACCUGAGGUGAAGACGGGUUGCUGGGCUGACACUGACGCUGAGGCGCGAAAGCUAGGGUAGCAAACGGG